GACGAACGCUGGCGGCGUGCUUAACACAUGCAAGUCGAACGGAAAGGCCCUGCUUUUGUGGGGUGCUCGAGUGGCGAACGGGUGAGUAACACGUGAGUAACCUGCCCUUGACUUUGGGAUAACUUCAGGAAACUGGGGCUAAUACCGGAUAGGAGCUCCUGCUGCAUGGUGGGGGUUGGAAAGUUUCGGCGGUUGGGGAUGGACUCGCGGCUUAUCAGCUUGUUGGUGGGGUAGUGGCUUACCAAGGCUUUGACGGGUAGCCGGCCUGAGAGGGUGACCGGCCACAUUGGGACUGAGAUACGGCCCGGAAUCCUACGGGAGGCAGCAGUGGGGAAUAUUGCACAAUGGGCGGAAGCCUGAUGCAGCAACGCCGCGUGCGGGAUGACGGCCUUCGGGUUGUAAACCGCUUUCGCCUGUGACGAAGCGUGAGUGACGGUAAUGGGUAAAGAAGCACCGGCUAACUACGUG
rnacentral:rRNA from 1 species